UGCAGCAGCAUCUUUGCAUGGGUGACAGAGGAAGGGCACCAGGUUUUCCAACUGCUGUUGGUAUGGCUCGAGUUGCCAAUCCCUGCCUCUUGCUUGGAACAUUUCAUAUUGCUGCUCCAGAUGACCUGAUGAUAGCUCAAAAGGAGAACACUUGCCUGUCUCUUUUUCCCAGGAACCAUUAAGCCUUAACUCCUGAAAUCCAGGAUCCUUUUCCAGCUUUUCUCCCGUUCUUCAGAAACAUCGACAUUUAUCUGUAUGGCUGGGCUGCUGAACUUGCUUCAGUCACACUCCUCACAUGAAUAUUAAGAUUCACUGAACUGAUGUGGUUGAUGCCACUAAGAAUUGACCAUCUGAUUAGUGGAUAAAUCAUCAGACAAGUAUCUGUGCCAGGAGGCUCUGAGUAGAAGACCUUCCAUAUUUUCAAAUUGCAAAAAAAAGGCUGUAAAUCCUCCUUCCCUUUGAACCCUUCCCAAGGGUUCAAAUUGUUGAACCCUUUGUUCAACAAUGAUGGUUCCACCAUGCAGAUUCCCAGACGUGGGACUUGCCCAGAAGAAGUGGAGCCAGGGGGACAUCCAAGGUAGGGGGCAAUCCCCAACUCCCUCCACAACAGAGAAUCCUGCACGACUUUGCAGCUCCAGCAGCACAAUACUUGCACACUGUCAUCAUACGGACUUGCUUUUGUGCUCAGACUCGUGGCUAGUUCUCUGAGAAAAUCCAUCAAACCUGAAUGAGGUUUCAGUCAAAACCUCAAAUAACAUUUGCAAACAAUGUUUACAGUGCUGUGGUUUCAACUUCAGGCUAAGAAAACAAAUAUUUAAUGGGCAAUAAACUUUUCAAGAGACUUGAAAA